rnacentral:lncRNA from 1 species
AACUUUUAAAAAUUGUAUACACAAAGCAUAUAUACAUAUGGUAUUCAUGUGUGUAUGUAUACGCGUGUGUUUAUGCAUUUUUACGUUUACAUAAUACUAGUUUAAUUUUUUAAUCUCUUUCUAAUAAUAACAGAAACAUUCUGUAUUUAAUAAUGUAAAAACAAGUACACAAACUGUAUCUUAUUGUUUUUUUAGUGACAAUUGAUAAAAAUAGUAUAAAAAAUCCAGUUUUUAGUAUUUUUGAAAAACCUUCAAUUCCGUUUACUCCAGAUAAUAAAUACAACUCAAUUAGCUACGGACGAAUGGCAUAUUUUUUAGUAUUCGAUCUUACAAAUGAAGAAACAUUUGAAUAUGUUAAGACAAUUUAUUUAAACAUGUCAAAUAUUUAUGAUAAAUAUUAUUCUCUAAAGCCGUUUAUAUCUCUUGUUGGAAAUAAAUCAGAUUUGGUAAAGAAGAUUGUGAAUUAG